rnacentral:rRNA from 1 species
AUUGAACGCUGGCGGCAGGCCUAACACAUGCAAGUCGAACGAGUGGCGGACGGGUGAGUAAUGUAUGGGAAACUGCCCGAUGGAGGGGGAUAACUACUGGAAACAGUAGCUAAUACCGCAUACCAUCGGAUGUGCCCAGAUGGGAUUAGCUAGUAGGUGGGUUAACGGCUCACCUUGGCGACGGUCCCUAGCGGGUCUGAGAGGAUGACCAGCCACACUGUACCAGAGCCACUGUCCCGACUCCUACGGGAGGCAGCAGUGGGGAAUAUUGCACAAUGGGCGCAAGCCUGAUGCAGCCAUACCGCGUGUAUGAAGAAGGCCUUCGGGUUGUAAAGUACUUUCAGCGAGGAGGCGUUACUCGCAGAAGAAGCACCGGCUAACUCCGUGCCAGUAGCCGCGGUAAUUC